rnacentral:rRNA from 1 species
UAGGGAAUCUUCCGCAAUGGGCGAAAGCCUGACGGAGCAACGCCGCGUGAGUGAUGAAGGUCUUCGGAUCGUAAAACUCUGUUAUUAGGGAAGAACAAAUGUGUAAGUAACUAUGCACGUCUUGACGGUACCUAAUCAGAAAGCCACGGCUAACUACGUGCCAGCAGCCGCGGUAAUACGUAGGUGGCAAGCGUUAUCCGGUAUUAUUGGGCGUAAAGCGCGCGUAGGCGGUUUUUUAAGUCUGAUGUGAAAGCCCACGGCUCAACCGUGGAGAGUCAUUGGAAACUGGAAAACUUGAGUGCAGAAGAGGAAAAUGGAAUUCCAAGUGUAGCGGUAAAAUGCGCAGAGAUAUGGAAGAACCCCAGUGGCGAAAGAGACUUUCUGGUCUGUAACUGACACUGAUGUGCGAAAGCGUGGGGAUCAAACAGG